rnacentral:tRNA from 1 species
GCAGUUGUGGCCUAUUGGUUGGGGCUUUGGGCUUGGAACCGAAAAGUUGCCAGUUCGAUCCCCGACCAGUGGUU